UUAAAUAGAUGAUACAUCUUCAUUGUUACUGUGAGUGGUUUUACAUCGGAUGCAAGAAAAACAAAGGAAUUCCUUCCCAGUAGUAGGCACCUGUUUCUUUGAUUUUUCAAACCAUUUUUUCACUUAUUUCAAGACUUAGAAAUCACAUCCAAGACAAGGAAGUGUGGUAGAGAAUGCCACUUCCUGGAAGGUUAUUAGCGAACUGCAAUGAAUUAAUGAACACAAGAGCUUUAGUUUAAACCUUUAUAGGUGUAUAAAGCACCAAGAAGCUUCUGAGCUAUCAGAAAACUAGAAAGUAUUAGAAUAUUUGGCUAUUGGUGAUAAGGCUUUUUGUGCAUGUUGGAAGGUGGGGUAUUAUGCUCAGCUCAGCUACCAAAGGACAGGUCAGCAAACCAGUUGGAAGGGUUCAUCUGGUUUCAAUUUGAAGUGUUAUAACAUCUAGUUUAAAACCCUCAGAAGAAAUUUCAAGGAUAGAGUGGCUUUCUUUGUUUUUCUUUUUUUUCAGCUUGUUGAUCCACUCCCAUCAUUUUGUAUUUGUGUAUCAGGUUCUCUCCUCUGUCUUCAACUCUGAAAAAUACAUGCUCUCAACCUGUGAAAUGCUUCUAAAUUUGAAGCAUAAUCGCAAGCCAGGCAUCACUGCUAUGUGCUCUCUGUAAGAAGCAUUUGAUGUCUUUCUUCCCCAUUUGUAUCCUUGACUCAGCAAUUCUUCUGUACUGGAAAUGCUGUUCAUUCUUUAAAAACUGGGUAUUUGCAGUGAGAAUUUCACUUAGGACCAGACAGUUAAUUGGGAUGCUUAAAUACAUGGGAUUGUUAUACAGAUUUAAGUAAACCUUUAACAGCUGAUGAGAUCUGUGACUGCAUACACUGUGAACAUACAAAUCAAUAGGGCAGCGAGUGUGUUAGUUGCUCAACCUGUUUUAUUUUGAGGCAUUUAUCUUUUAGUGUAAUGGGAUUGUACCAUUCAUUCAAUUUGUAUUUGACAGAGUACUAUGGAAAGCAGAUAAACACUCACAGCAAUUGCCACUGAGGCUCCCAUAUAAUCAGGUUACACAUCUAAGCUAAUAACACUUACAUUCUCUUUUUUUAUAAUGGUCUACUGCCCCAAAGAUUGAUUUUCUAUUGACAGUCCCUGAACACUGACAGUCCUGAUGAAUCCAUUUUGUUUGCCAGUUGUGCUGACAUCAAUUUGAAAAGCAAUAUUCAUAGUAAAAAAAUGUGGGGCCUUAACUUUUCAGAGGAGUUUGCAUGUGAAAUCAAUUUGAAAUGUUUUCAAGAUAGGGCCUCAGAACCAGAUUUUGAGCCAAGAAAUAAAAGGAAAGCAUAGGUAAACAAACCCAAACCAGUGUUGAGCAGCUUGUCUUGGAUGCUGAGAUUGACCCAGCAUGAGAGUCAGCUGUAGAGCUGUUCUUACUGGACUAGGUUGUACUUGAACUGCCAUUGGAAACAUUGAUUUUGCUGCAGUAAAGCCUUUGAGUUUUGAGGUUAUUUGGAUGGUUGUAAUUAGUACUGGAACCUCUGUCCAGUAUUUCACUUUUCAUGUUGUUUUCCUAAUGCAUUCAUGAUUUGCUAACACACAUUCCACACUUUGAGCAGUCCAAAUUUGGUCUCAUGUAGGAAUGACAUCAGUGUUAACAGGGAGCAUCUAACAGUGGUGUGAAUUGCUGAACCUGGUGCAAUGGCAGCAGUUCAAGCUCUGACUCUGUGAAAGCACUGAAGGAAAAUAUUUUUUAACUUUGGAGGUCAUUGGAAGGCAGUAGAAGAGGGAUAUGGAAGCUAUUCAGUUGGAUGUAUCCAGGACAAGAGUUACCUGCCCAGGUCCCUAGGAUAAGUCAGAACGCUGCUGGGCUACGCUGCCUCUGAGGACCAGGAGAUGAGGAGGCCUGUGACCAACACCUGAAUACCACGGGUAGCAUGGUGGUGAGUGCUUGGGUUUUUAACAAUGCCUGCUUAAGUGAUGGGCAAAACAAGAUAUGUGGUUCAGCAGAAGUCAGGAAGUGAGUGCCAAACUGGCUUAACAGGAGCAAGAAGUAAAGAGGCCACACAACACUUGAAGCUGCUCUGUACAGUGGAACACAUGCUGUUCUCUCCUUGUAGCUGGUACUACUAAUAGUACUUAUGGUAUCCUAAGUAUUCUCCAGUUGUGGGUCUACACGUGCUUUUUAGAUGCUGGGUUGUCACAUCUAAAUAAAAAAAUGUUGCAUUCAUUGUAGGAUGUGGUGAUAUUGCCAUCUUUCCUCUAGCUCACACUUUUGUUUUCUCUCUCCUCUUUUUUUGAGUGCACAUGUAGAGAGCUGCCAGAGCCAAGUCAGGCUAAACUGCUAGACUUGCAGACUAGGCAGGAUCAGUUCUGCAAGGUUUCCAUGAAGAAAACACCAGAUUUUAGCUAUCCUUUCUGAAGAGCAUGCUGAAGUGUAGCUAAAGGCUGAUAAUAACAUUCAUUUCUUGACAACACAGACCAUCUUCUAGUUUAUCAUGAUCUGUUCUUUGGCGUGCUGCACAAGCCUUUUGUUUCUAUUUAGCUGAAAACUUCUGUCAUUGCUCUUCUGGAGAAACAAGUGCCUCUGAAAAAUAAUUGCUUUGACCUGGGAAUGACCCAUUUCCUGAGGGUAAAUGACAAAGAAGAGAGGGAAUAGCACUGGGUGAAGAUCAAACUGAAAUUUUUACAUCUUCCAUCCUGGGCCUGAAAUGAAUGCCUGGUAUUUUGACUGUCAGUGCUUGGUUCUCAUCAAUGAAGUGGCACAAGUUCAGGUAUGUCCUGUUGCUGACAAUUAAUCACUCUUCUGACCCAUUACAAAUAGAUUUAACUUUGUAAUCAGU